rnacentral:rRNA from 1 species
UACGGAGGGUGCAAGCGUUAUCCGGAUUUACUGGGUUUAAAGGGUGCGUAGGUGGGUAGGUAAGUCAGUGGUGAAAUCCCCGAGCUUAACUUGGGAACUGCCGUUGAUACUAUCUAUCUUGAAUGUCGUGGAGGUAAGCGGAAUAUGUCAUGUAGCGGUGAAAUGCUUAGAUAUGACAUAGAACACCCAUUGCGAAGGCAGCUUACUACACGAUUAUUGACACUGAGGCACGAAAGCGUGGGGAGCAAACAGG